GAGAUGAGGAGAUAGGCGGGAGCGAGGGAGCGAAGGAGGUAGAGAAGAGCGGAGGAGAGGGGAGGGAGCGCAGCUUGGUUGCUCCGUAGUACGGCGGCUCGCAAGGGAGAAUCCCGAGCGGGCUGCGGGACGUACGGAGAGGCGGGCGGGCGGGGAUGGUGUGCGGGGCUGCGGCUCCUGCGUUCCCUCCCGCUGCGAGUGAGCUGCACUGAUUUGUCCCUGGGGCGGCAGCGUGGACCCGCCUGGAGAUGAGGCGUCCAUUAGCAAGGUGAAAGUAACAGAAACAUGGCUCAGUUUCCAACACCUUUUGGUGGUAGCCUGGAUAUUUGGGCCAUAACUGUAGAGGAAAGAGCAAAGCAUGAUCAACAGUUCCAUAGUUUAAAGCCAAUAUCUGGAUUUAUUACUGGUGAUCAAGCUAGAAACUUUUUUUUUCAAUCUGGGUUACCUCAACCUGUUUUAGCACAGAUAUGGGCGCUUGCUGAUAUGAAUAAUGAUGGAAGAAUGGAUCAAGUGGAGUUUUCCAUAGCUAUGAAACUCAUCAAACUGAAGCUACAAGGAUAUCAGCUCCCCUCCGCACUUCCCCCUGUCAUGAAACAGCAACCAGUUGCUAUUUCUAGCGCACCAGCGUUUGGUAUGGGAGGUAUCGCCAGCAUGCCACCACUGACCGCUGUUGCUCCAGUGCCAAUGGGUUCCAUUCCUGUUGUCGGAAUGUCUCCCCCGCUAGUAUCCUCUGUUCCUGCGGCAGGAGUGCCUCCUCUGGCUAACGGGACGCCCCCUGUCAUACAGCCUCUGCCUGCAUUCACUCAUCCUGCAGCCACAUUGCCAAAGAGUUCUUCCUUUAGUAGAUCUGGUCCAGGGUCACAGUUAAACACUAAAUUACAGAAGGCACAAUCAUUUGACGUGGCUAGUGUUCCUCCCGCAGCUGAAUGGGCUGUUCCUCAGCCAUCCAGACUGAAAUACCGACAGUUAUUCAACAGUCAUGACAAAACCAUGAGUGGACACUUAACAGGUCCCCAAGCAAGAACUAUUCUUAUGCAGUCAAGUUUACCACAGGCUCAGCUGGCUUCAAUAUGGAAUCUUUCUGACAUUGAUCAAGAUGGAAAACUCACAGCAGAAGAAUUUAUCCUGGCUAUGCACCUAAUUGAUGUAGCUAUGUCUGGCCAACCACUGCCACCGGUCCUGCCCCCAGAAUACAUUCCACCUUCCUUUAGAAGAGUUCGAUCUGGCAGUGGUAUAUCUGUCAUAAGUUCAACUUCAGUAGAUCAGAGGUUACCAGAGGAACCAGUUUUAGAAGAUGAACAGCAACAACUAGAAAAGAAAUUACCUGUAACCUUUGAAGAUAAGAAGCGUGAGAACUUUGAACGUGGCAAUCUGGAGCUGGAGAAACGGAGACAAGCGCUCUUGGAGCAGCAGCGCAAAGAACAAGAGCGCCUGGCCCAGCUGGAGAGGGCGGAGCAGGAGAGGAAGGAGCGGGAACGCCAGGAACAGGAGCGCAAGAGGCAACUGGAGCUGGAGAAGCAGCUGGAAAAGCAGCGGGAGCUAGAACGUCAGAGAGAGGAGGAACGCAGGAAAGAAAUCGAGAGGCGAGAGGCUGCAAAACGGGAGCUUGAAAGGCAACGACAGCUUGAAUGGGAACGGAAUCGAAGACAAGAACUAUUAAAUCAAAGAAACAAAGAACAAGAGGACAUAGUUGUGCUGAAAGCAAAGAAAAAGACUUUGGAAUUUGAAUUAGAAGCUCUAAAUGAUAAGAAGCAUCAACUGGAAGGAAAACUUCAAGAUAUCAGAUGUCGAUUGACAACCCAAAGGCAAGAAAUUGAGAGCACAAACAAAUCUAGAGAGUUGAGAAUUGCUGAAAUCACCCACCUACAGCAACAAUUACAGGAGUCUCAGCAAAUGCUUGGAAGACUUAUUCCAGAAAAACAGAUACUCAAUGACCAAUUAAAACAAGUUCAGCAGAACAGUUUGCACAGAGAUUCACUUCUUACACUCAAAAGAGCCUUAGAAGCAAAAGAACUAGCUCGGCAGCAGCUACGAGACCAACUGGAUGAAGUGGAGAAAGAAACUAGAUCAAAACUACAGGAGAUUGAUAUUUUCAAUAAUCAGCUGAAGGAACUAAGAGAAAUACAUAAUAAGCAGCAGCUACAGAAACAGAAGUCCAUAGAGGCUGAACGACUGAAACAGAAAGAACAAGAGCGAAAGAUCAUAGAAUUAGAAAAACAAAAAGGAGAAGCCCAAAGACGAGCUCAGGAAAGGGACCAGCAGUGGCUGGAGCACGUGCAACAAGAAGAUGAGCAUCAGCGGCCAAGAAAACCCCACGAGGAGGAAAAACUCAAAAGGGAAGAGAGUGUCAAAAAGAAGGAGAGUGAGGAAAAGGGCAAACAGGAAAUGCAAGACAAGCUGAGUCGGCUUUUCCAUCAACAAGAGCCAGCUAAGCCAGCUGUCCAAGCACCCUGGUCCACCGCAGAAAAAGGUCCACUUAGCAUUUCUGCACAGGAGAAUGUAAAGGUGGUGUAUUACCGAGCACUCUAUCCCUUUGAGUCCAGAAGUCACGAUGAAAUCACGAUCCAGCCAGGAGAUAUAGUCAUGGUGGAUGAAAGCCAAACUGGAGAACCGGGUUGGCUUGGAGGAGAAUUAAAAGGAAAGACAGGAUGGUUCCCUGCAAACUACGCAGAGAAAAUCCCAGAAAACGAGGUUCCUGCCCCAGUCAAACCAGUGACUGAUGCUGCCUCCACCCCUGCACCCAAACUGGCUCUACGUGAGACCCCUGCUCCUUCCACGGUGACCUCUGCAGAGCCCUCCGCGACCCCCAACAACUGGGCCGACUUCAGCUCCACGUGGCCCACCAGCACGAACGAGAAACCAGAAACCGACAACUGGGAUGCAUGGGCAGCCCAGCCCUCCCUCACCGUUCCGAGCGCCGGGCAGUUGAGACAGAGAUCAGCCUUCACUCCAGCCACAGCCACGGGCUCCUCUCCAUCUCCUGUUUUAGGCCAGGGCGAAAAGGUGGAGGGGCUACAAGCACAAGCCCUGUAUCCUUGGAGAGCCAAAAAAGACAACCAUUUAAAUUUUAACAAAAAUGAUGUCAUCACAGUCCUGGAGCAGCAAGACAUGUGGUGGUUUGGAGAAGUUCAAGGCCAGAAGGGGUGGUUCCCCAAGUCCUACGUGAAACUCAUUUCAGGGCCCAUAAGGAAAUCUACGAGCAUGGAUUCUGGUUCUUCAGAAAGUCCUGCUAGUCUAAAGAGAGUAGCUUCCCCAGCAGCCAAGCCGGCCGUGUCAGGAGAAGAAUUUAUUGCCAUGUACACUUACGAGAGUUCUGAGCAAGGCGAUUUAACCUUUCAGCAAGGGGAUGUGAUUUUGGUUACCAAGAAAGAUGGUGACUGGUGGACAGGAACAGUGGGCGACAAGUCCGGAGUCUUCCCUUCUAACUAUGUGAGGCUUAAAGAUUCAGAGGGCUCUGGAACUGCUGGGAAAACAGGGAGUUUAGGAAAAAAACCUGGAUCGUCCUCUAACUUGAAGUAAAAAGAAGUAAACUUACAUUGAUGUGAUUCCUACCUGAUAUUCAGGGAUCACCCUCAAAAUAAAUUGCCCAGGUUAUUGCGUCCUACACUGCUACUGGUCCCGAGCAGCUUACCCUCGCCCCUGGUCAGCUGAUUUUGAUCCGAAAAAAGAACCCAGGUGGAUGGUGGGAAGGAGAGCUGCAAGCACGUGGGAAAAAGCGCCAGAUAGGCUGGUUCCCUGCUAACUAUGUCAAACUUUUAAGCCCUGGGAUGAGCAAAAUCACUCCAACAGAGCCACCUAAGCCCGCAGCAUUCCCAGCAGUGUGCCAGGUGAUCGGGAUGUACGAUUACACCGCGCAGAAUGACGACGAGCUGGCCUUCAACAAGGGCCAGAUCAUCAACGUCCUCAACAAGGAGGACCCCGACUGGUGGAAAGGAGAAGUCCACGGGCAAGUGGGGCUCUUCCCGUCCAAUUACGUGAAGCUGACCACAGACAUGGACCCCAGCCAGCAAUGAAUCAUAUGUUGUCCAUCCCCCCCUCAGGCUUGAAAGUCCUCAAAGAGACCCACUAUCCCAUAUCACUGCCCAGAGGGAUGAUGGGAGAUGCAGCCUUGAUCAUGUGACUUCCAGCAUGAUCACCUACUGCCUUCUGAGUAGAAGAACUCACUGCAGAGCAGUUUACCUCAUUUUACCUUAGUUGCAUGUGAUGGCAAUGUUGAGUUAUUACUUGCACAGAUAGAAGCAAAAAAAUUACAAAAAUACACAGGGUAGUGGGUCCUUUUGUGGCUUUCCUAGUGACUCAAAUUGACUUCCCCCCACCUUUGCACAGGUGCUUCCAAUAGUUUUCAAAUUAUUUUAAAAUAAAUAUCUUAGCCUUUUAAUAAAAAAAAGUGAAUUACUUCUUUGCUAUUUUGGUUUUGCAAAAAGACCCACUAUCAAGGAAUGCUGCAUGUGCUAUUAAAAAAUGUUCCAAAUGUCCAUAAAUCUGAGACUCGAUGUAUUUUUUUCAUUUUGUCCAGUGUUACCAACUAAAUUGUGUCGUUUGGGUUUUUGACCCCCUACUAUAGAAGUACAGAGGAGUUCAGUAUAUCUGUUUUAAAGACGUGUAGAACGAGGCCAAUUAAACAGAAGCUGUUUUGUGCUUGUUUGUGUGUAUCAGAUGUACCUUGCUGAGCAUGUAAUAAUACAUCCUGUACAUAAGAAAUUAGUUCUUUCCAUGGCAAAAGCUGUUAUCUUGUAUGAUGCUCUAAUCACAUUACAUUAAUUUUAUUUUGCACAGUGACCUUGUAGCCACACGAGAAAGAACCUGUGUUUUUGUUCGGUCUCAGAUUUAUCUGGUUGAGUUGGUGUUUUCUGUUUUGGGUUUUUAAUUUUGCGUGUUUUCAUACCAUAAAUCCGUAGACAACACCACUGAGGUUGUUACGAUCAACAAUAUCUACAAUCUCGCCUUAGUCUCUGUUACACCAAGUUUUAUUCCAGUGACUUUUCAUGGAAUGACGUAUUUUGAACAAGUAAUUUUCUUGACAAGAAAGAAUGUAUAGGAGUCUCCCUGCAAUUAAUUUCCAAUGUUUACAUUUUUUAACUAGACUGUGGAAUUUCUACAGAUUAAUAUGAAAUGGAGCUCAUGGUCCGUUAAUGUGUUGGAUAUGUUGUAGCUGAAGCCAUGUUUGUCUUUUAAACACUAGUUGGAAGCUUUCAAUAAAAACGCCGUUGCCGACAGCACAGAAAAUGGGGCGGGGGGCAGGGAGCCUCAAGCACAACCUAGCGGUUCUACUAAUGACUUUUUAACAGUAGUGAACUUCUGUUUCUACGUCUCUCCCCUUGGGGAUUCCAUGCUGGCGAUUGUGUAGAGGUCUUUCUCCACUCACAUGGUGCCGAGAACGAGGACUCCCCCUCAUUCACUGGCGCGUCAGUAUUUUCAUGGAUAUGAAUGUAAAAUAUAUAAAUAUAUAAACCUGCGGCUUUAACAACUGUAAUACAACUUUUGAAUUAGUUAUGUGUAUAGAUAAUUAAAUUCUUCAUAUAAAAGUUA